rnacentral:piRNA from 1 species
UGGCCUCUGCAGUAACUAUUGAGGAAGA